rnacentral:lncRNA from 1 species
CAUCUCGCAGGAUGGACAGGUUGAUCCACCUAACAUACCCGUGGACUCCACCAGCGCUCGGAUCUGGGCCAGAUCUGUGGAAUCUACAACUCUAAAAUCAGCAACAAAUCGUGUAACCGGAAUGCAAACUGUAUCCUAUCUCCAUCAAAUCUAAAUUCUCACGUUAUCGUCUACGAUAUGAUCCUGGGAGUGAAACGUUGCCCCCAAGAAGACGCAGACGUUCCCUAAGAAGAACUGUAAUAACAGUAAAAACGCUUGUUAACCAUUUUCGCGCGUGCUCCGAGAAUAGGAGGAAGGGGAAGCGAAACGGGAAAAAACGGUACGUCGAAGAGGCCGCGACUUCCUUGUGAGACGCAGAUCGAUGUUCCACUUAACAACGAGUUCGCGAGUUUGACAGCCAGAGACCAACUGUCACGAAGAAUCUGCACAGGGCACACCGGUAUCUCGGUUAGUAGAGACACGUCGUGUGUCAGGGAAGCGGUGCGGUUCGUUCAUCGAUAAUGGAUAAACGAGCCGUGACCGGGAAGGCGCCAUAUACUUAAAGGAUUCUAGAAAGUGAGGUCAAGAGAAGAAGACCUCCUCGCGUGCCCUCUCCUUCGUCUUUUUCAUCCUUGCUGCGUGUGUACACGAAGCACACGCGGAACCUGCUGGCGCUUCUAUUCCUGAUCCUCGAUCGAUUCCAUGUAGCAUUGGCUCGUGUGCCGUACCUUGUACCGUACGUCAUAUACCAUGAAAUUUAUGGCAGCGCCAGGUUAAUGGUUCCAAUGGAUCCUUUCCACGACAGGCAAAAUUAUGUUUAUGUUCGUAUCGAAGUUUGUUCUUCUCGAUCGGCUCGUUGGUACUCUUAGUGCAAGAGUUAUAGCGAGAUUGUAUGAUUGAUCGAGCGUUAAUGUUUUUGUACUUCAAGAAUUGAAACAGUAAUUCGAAGCAUAAGAAUUCGAUCUGAUUCGGGAGACUGUACAGCGUUAAUUUAAAAUUGUCUCUUUCUUCCUAGUAUAUAUAUUGAAACAAAAUUUUUGCUAUUUUUUACAGCUACCGCAAAUCAAUCGGUGCGUCUUCUUAAUCCUUUGAUUUACGACCUUAUUAUAUCCUUACUAUCAGGAGUAUCAAGAGGACCACAAGGAUAUUAGAGGCAGUUCGACGUUCACGAAGAAGAGGUAGAAAACUCAGGAUGUGUUGAACGGGUCAAGCUAUGCAAAUUGUAGAUUAAUACGAUCAUGCUGAGCAGUUGAGGCAGUUAAGACGUGGGCGGUACCGUUGCGAUCACUCUGUGUAAUUGAACAGUUAGGGGCGAGAAUGCAACGAAUCUAGGUCCAUUAAAUGGCACAAUGGUCUAUGUUCCGAGAAACAUGAAGAUUUUUUGCUUAACCUCUUGUCCUAUGACCUUUUAGCGCCUGAGCGAACUUCGCUCGCUACAUAUUACAAGAACCUACUUGUUACUUGGAAAGAGUUAAUAGAGUUCUUUUGAGAACUAUUGAAAAUGUCACGGUACCAAUAUUAAAAGAACAUGUUAUGGAGAAA